UACAGGGGGUGCGAGCGUUGCUCGGAAUCACUGGGCGUAAAGCGUACGCAGGCGGACCGUUAAGUCGGGUGUGAAAGCCCGGGGCUCAACCCCGGAAUUGCAUUCGAAACUGGCGGUCUUGAAUACGGGAGAGGUGAGUGGAAUUCCUGGUGUAGAGGUGAAAUUCGUAGAUAUCAGGAGGAACACCGGUGGCGAAAGCGGCUCACUGGCCCGAUAUUGACGCUCAUGUACGAAAGCGUGGGGAGCAAACAGGAUUAGAUACCCUGGUAGUCCACGCCGUAAACGAUGAGUGCUAGCUGCUGGAGAACCUUUUCUUUCUUCGGUGGCGUAGCUAACGCGUUAAGCACUCCGCCUGGGAAGUACGGUCGCAAGACUA
rnacentral:rRNA from 1 species